rnacentral:rRNA from 1 species
UGGGGAAUUUUGGACAAUGGGCGCAAGCCUGAUCCAGCAAUGCCGCGUGCAGGAUGAAGGCCUUCGGGUUGUACACUGCUUUUGUACGGAACGAAACGGCGAGCUCUAAUACAGCUUGCUAAUGACGGUACCGUAAGAAUAAGCACCGGCUAACUACGUGCCAGCAGCCGCGGUAAUACGUAGGGUGCAAGCGUUAAUCGGAAUUACUGGGCGUAAAGCGUGCGCAGGCGGUUAUGUAAGACAGAUGUGAAAUCCCCGGGCUUAACCUGGGAACUGCAUUUGUGACUGCAUAGCUAGAGUACGGUAGAGGGGGAUGGAAUUCCGCGUGUAGCAGUGAAAUGCGUAGAUAUGCGGAGGAACACCGAUGGCGAAGGCAAUCCCCUGGACCUGUACUGACGCUCAUGCACGAAAGCGUGGGGAGCAAACAGGAUUGGAUACCCUGGUAGUCCACGCCCUAAACGAUGUCAACUGGUUGUUGGGUCUUCACUGACUCAGUAACGAAGCUAACGCGUGAAGUUGACCGCCUGGGGAGUACGGCCGCAAGGUUG